GACCGCGUGGCCUAGUGGAUAAGGUGUCUGACUUUGAAUCUGAAGAUUGAGGGAUCAAGUCCCUUCGUGGUCG